UCCGUCAGACAUUUUGUGCCCGCCACGUGCUAGCCUAUCGCCCAGCUCGCGCCUCAAAACUUGAGAGGCUUUCUUGGCUUGAGAAGAGACAGCUGGUAUAAUUGGAGAGCAUCGCCCCACCAGUUAGGUAAAGUUGAUCUUUUUUCAUAAUAGCUAGGGGAGUGGCAAAUGAGCAAAUUGAAGAGAAUGAAAGGAAAAAAAAUGUUUCCAUCUCCUGUGGCCCCCAGCUCCAAUCCCCAGGGAUAUUCCCAUGACCUAGACUCAUCAUAACUUAAAGAAGGACCUCAUAGGCAUUUUGCCAUUUAGAACUUAAAAUGUGUUUUGUUUUUCAUAGAGGUAGUGUUAUAAAUCAUUGUUAUAUCCUCCAGUCAGAUCUGAAAAGGUAUUUGGCUGCAAUAUAGUUCAAAUUUUUCAAUGAAAAAGUAGUAGGAAACUACUGUUUGCUGGUAACUGUAGAAAACAAAUAUGAGUUAAGUAGGAGGUAGUAUGGAUUUUUCAUUUUUAAGUGUUUACCUUAAAUUUGUGUUUGAGAAAAGGCAAGUUUAAUUGGAGCAUGAGGGAAGAAGAGGAGUGAAUUUGGCCCCAAAAGUUAAACUGUCCAUCUUCAAGCAGAAGGCCAGUUAACUCUUGGAUCAAAUAGAUCCCUCAGAUUUAAGCACAAAUGAACAAGUGCCUGCCUAACUUUCUUCAUUAGAUAGCAGCUCUGGGAGGAUUUGAGAUAUAAGAAGAAACUAGGGCCUUUUCUCCUUUGAUUAGGACCUCUGGUUUAUUCUGAAUCUAGAUUGGGAAGCUGUGGGAUCAUCUUGACCCCAGCUCCACUCACUGUCUCAACUACACUCUUCCAAAGCUGUUAUCUCCUUUGCAAGGCAGUCUAGAUCUCUAUACCCAGGAAGGAAUGAAAAGAGAUGAGGCUUAGUUACCUCUGUGGAGAUCCACUGAGAACCCCAGAGUUGAUAUAAAGAUUGUUUUAAACUGAAGAGAUUUGAGAUUCAACAGAUGCAGAGAGAAGCCUACUUGGAGUUUAUCUGGCUAAAAGCAAAUACAUGUCACAAACGAGGGCUGACAUAAAUUCUCCCUUUGGAGUGAGUCUGUUCCCAGGAGAGAGGCCAAGAGUAAACCUCUGGUAGGGGUUGGAGGGGUAGUCUUUUGGCCCUAAGAAAAGAAAGACCACUCAUACCUAUGUAGACAGACAUUGUAAACUUGAUCUCUCAUUUGUUCUGAAAAUACCAUUUGUGUUCCCUAAAGAAAUCUGUUCUUCCCAAAAGGUUUUUCUCCUGCUGUCCUUUCCUCUUCUAAGUUAGGUAUAUAAGCCCUAAAUUCUAACUACUCAGUUAUCACUGAGUGUGAGUGCACCUGUGUAUGUGUGUUGCACAUGUAAAUACACUUUUUCUGCACCUCAAAUGCCACUUUUCUGCCAUUGAAACAAUAUCCGAGCUCAGAAUACCUUUCAUCAAGGUCCUGUUAAGAACUUUCAACAACCUUGAAGUUGGCUGAUGGAACAUUUAGACCUGCUAUCCUUGGGUACAGCCCUAAGUGGGGCCCUCCAGUGGUCUCUGCUUUAUGCAGUAAUUCCCAUUCUCCUCUGUGCUUAUUCCCCAGUGACUCAUCUUCUCAGUAUGCUUCUGGCGUUCUGUUCUUGGGGUGGCAUGUUUCUUUACAUUCUCAGCCUUUCUGGAAAAGUCAAGGGACUUGCCUUUUCUGCCUAGCCCAACAACUCUCUGCCCUAUUUAUCCCAGUAUAUCUUAUUGCCUCUUACUGGUAGAGGCAAUUAAAGGUCUCAGGUAUUCAUUUCCUGAACUUCUCAUUCUCACUUAACAAACUCACCUACAUCUGUGUCCAUCCUAGCCAUCUCUCUUGAAGGAGCUGUCCCUCCUCCAACAAGAGUAGAAUGAUACCUCAUUUUUAAUAUGCACUUUUACUGCUUACAGUUGAACCUUUUUUUUUUUUUUUUUUUUUUUGAGACAUAAUCUUGCUCUGGUGCCCAGGCUGGAGUGCGGUGGCGCAAUCUUGGCUCACUGCAACCCUCCGCCUCGCGGGUUCAAGCAUUCUCCUGCCUCAUCCUCCCGAGUAGCUGGGACUACAGGUGCACACCACCAUGCCCGGCACAUUUUUUUGUAUUUUUAGUAGAGAUGGGGUUUCGCCAGGUUGGCCAGGCUGGUCUCAAACUCCUGACCUCAGGUGAUCUGCCCGCCUCAGCCUCCCAAAGUGGUUGGGAUUAUAGACGUGAGCCACCGUGCCCAGCCAAACUUUUUUUUUUUUUAACUGGGUCUCUGUGGCCCAAGCUGGAGCAUAGUGGCAUGAUAAUGGCUCACUGCAACCUGGACCUCCUGGGCUCAAGUGAUCCUCCUGCAUCAGCCUCUCAAGUAGCUCGGACCACAGGCAUGCACCACCAUGCCCAGAUAAUUAUUUAUUUUUUGUAGAGACAGGGUCUCCCUAUGUUGCCCAGGUGACUCUUGGACUCCUGGGCUCAGGUGGUCCUCCCACUUCUGCCUCCCAAAAUACUGGGAUUGUAGGCACUAGCCACUGCACCUGGCCUUGAACAGUUUUUUUUAGUGUUGGCUAUUUGUGUCUUUUAGAGCUUGUCUGUCCUUCGUUAGUGUUUCUGCUGGGGUAUUUAUUUUUUCCUCACUUAGGGUAAAAAAAAUAGAAGAUAUCCUCAAGAACAAGAUAAAUGCAAAUAGCCAGAAUUUCCGUAAUCGAGAGGUUACAAAAAGUAACAGUCAAAUAAAUCAGAAAAUAAUUUUGUGGCAGUUAAAAUGAACUACUCAUUUAAAAGAGAAGUUGACAUUUUAAAUAAAGAACUCUUAACUAAUAA